CACCAUGCCGUGUCAUGUUGACCAAAGUGGAUAUAGCCACUACGUUAUGUUGACGUUAACUUGAUGUUUCUCUUUUGCAAUGUGUGUAGCUGAGAAGUCGGAUCUGUGCUCUGUUCAUAAAACAAUCUAAUUAUUUGCUAUAUUUUUGGGUGUAGUGAUCGUCUAGAAAGUACUCAAGACAAUCACAAAGGUAAAAAGAAGUGAAUUCAAAAAGAAAAAGUGCGAAAUAUGUGGAGUAAAAACUUGUCGAUGGACGGCUAAAAAAAGAUAUUCAUGGCAAAAUUUCCUCUAGACGAAUAUCGUACUUCUAACCUGGAGUAUGGAGUGAAACCAGCCAGGAUAUGAACUACCGACGUGACUACCACGAACCAGUAGGAGUAAAGGAACUGACAUUUUACAACAUGUUAAAGUUUGAACGAAAUAAAACUCUAUGAAUAUA